GAGCUUGUCCGGACAAACAAGAACUGCUAAUUCAUGAUCCCCAUGGUUCAACUCCAUGGCUCGCUCG
rnacentral:tRNA from 1 species